UAAGAUGUCAACCUCCUCAGUUGCUUUUACUUGUUGAGUGUUGGUUAAUGGGGGCAUACUUGCUGGUUUACUUGUAGAUCAGCUCCUCUGAAAUAUAUUAGUAGAACAAUUUGUGGAUCUGUUCAUUAGUGUGAUAAAUGUCUCUACACUAUUGAUGUGAAGCAUGUUUGGCUUCUAACAGUCUAUUAAUUUGGACAAAUUUAUAA
rnacentral:misc_RNA from 1 species